rnacentral:rRNA from 1 species
AUUGAACGCUGGCGGCAGGCCUAACACAUGCAAGUCGAACGAGAGGCGGACGGGUGAGUAAUGAAUGGGAAACUGACUGAUGGAGGGGGAUAACUACUGGAAACGGUAGCUAAUAACGCAUAGAAUCGGCUGUGCCCAGAUGGGAUUAGCUAGGAGGUGGGGUAAAGGCUCACCUAGGCGACGCGCCCUAGCAGGUCUGAGAGGAUGACCAGCCACACUGGAACUGAGACACGGUCCAGACUCCUACGGGAGGCAGCAGUGGGGAAUAUUGCACAAUGGGCGAAAGCCUGAUGCAGCCAUGCCGCGUGUAUGAAGAAGGCCUUCGGGUUGUAAAGUACUUUCAGCGGGGAGGCGUUACCCGCAGAAGAAGCACCGGCUAACUUCGUGCCAGCAGCCGCGGUAAUAC